GCUCAGGGUCAUCAGUGCAGGUCAGGUGAAGAGGGGGAGUCAGGUCGGCAUGGAAAUAUGGGCGUGUCUACAAAGGUGUGCCUUCUUACAGGUUUUCACAGAUGAAGACGUUGGAAGAUUCUCCAAUCGGGAUCCAUCUUUAUUGUCUCAUGCCAGACCAGAAGGUUCUUCAGGUUAAACCAUUCCUUCAUCUGCUACCAGACCCAUUGAAAUGAAUGGUUCCACAUACGGUCCGCAAAAAACCCUGAAUGGACAUGGAAAGAAAAUGCGUUCGUGUGCAUGAGCCUUAAGUAGAUGAUUUUCUAUAAAGUAACUCCCAGUUGAGCAGUAUCUGUGGAGUACGGAUUUCACACGGAGAGCAAAAAACGGACACGUGGAACAAAAACAGAUUCUUCACGGACAUCUUCCCAAUGAAACACGGAUGUAUUUUUAACGGAUG